rnacentral:rRNA from 1 species
UACGAGGGGUGCGAGCGUUAUUCGGAAUUAUUGGGCGUACAGGGCGCGUAGACGGCGCAUUAAGUCAACUGUUAAACUCCCCGGCCUAACCGGGGGCCAGCGGUAGAUACUGAUGUGCUAGAGGAUGGAAGAGAGAAGUGGAAUUCUCGGAGUAGCGGUAAAAUGCGUAGAUCUCGAGAGGAACACCGAUGGCGAAGGCAGCUUCUUGGUCCAUAUCUGACGUUGAGGCGCGAAAGCGUGGGGAGCAAAC